rnacentral:rRNA from 1 species
UACGUAGGGCGCAAGCGUUAUCCGGAAUUAUUGGGCGUAAAGAGCUCGUAGGCGGUUUGUCGCGUCUGCCGUGAAAGUCCGGGGCUUAACUCCGGAUCUGCGGUGGGUACGGGCAGACUUGAGUGAUGUAGGGGAGACUGGAAUUCCUGGUGUAGCAGUGAAAUGCGCAGAUAUCAGGAGGAACACCGAUGGCGAAGGCAGGUCUCUGGGCUGUAACUGACGCUGAGGAGCGAAAGCAUGGGGAGCGAACAGG